rnacentral:rRNA from 1 species
GUGGGGAAUCUUGGACAAUGGGCGCAAGCCUGAUCCAGCAAUGCCGCGUGCAGGAAGAAGGCCUUCGGGUUGUAAACUGCUUUUGUACGGAACGAACCGGUCCUGGUUAAUACCUGGGGCUAAUGACGGUACCGUAAGAAUAAGCACCGGCUAACUACGUGCCAGCAGCCGCGGUAAUACGUAGGGUGCGAGCGUUAAUCGGAAUUACUGGGAGUAAAGCGUGCGCAGGCGGUGCUGUAAGACAGGCGUGAAAUCCCCGGGCUCAACCUGGGAAUUGCGCUUGUGACUGCAGUGCUGGAGUACAGCAGAAGGAGAUGGAAUUCCGCGUGUAGCAGUGAAAUGCGUAGAUAUGCGGAGGAACACCGAUGGCGAAGGCAGUCCCCUGGGCCUGUACUGACGCUCAUGCUCGAAAGCGUGGGGAGCAAACAGGAUUAGAUACCCUUGUAGUCC